rnacentral:rRNA from 1 species
UACGUAGGGUGCAAGCGUUGUCCGGAAUUAUUGGGCGUAAAGAGCUCGUAGGCGGUCUGUCGCGUCUGCUGUGAAAACCUAAGGCUCAACCUUGGGCUUGCAGUGGGUACGGGCAGACUAGAGUGCGGUAGGGGUGACUGGAAUUCCUGGUGUAGCGGUGGAAUGCGCAGAUAUCAGGGAGGGAACACCCGGUGGGCGAAGGCGGGUCUCUGG